rnacentral:rRNA from 1 species
GACGAACGCUGGCGGCGUGCUUAACACAUGCAAGUCGAACGCUGAAGCUUGGUGCUUGCACUGGGUGGAUGAGUGGCGAACGGGUGAGUAUCACGUGAGUAACCUGCCCCUGACUUCGGGAUAAGCCUGGGAAACUGGGUCUAAUACCGGAUAUGACCAUCUUUCGCAUGUUGGGUGGUGGAAAGUUUUUCGGUUGGGGAUGGGCUCGCGGCCUAUCAGUUUGUUGGUGGGGUAAUGGCCUACCAAGACGACGACGGGUAGCCGGCCUGAGAGGGCGACCGGCCACACUGGGACUGAGACACGGCCCAGACUCCUACGGGAGGCAGCAGUGGGGAAUAUUGCACAAUGGGGGGAACCCUGAUGCAGCGACGCCGCGUGGGGGAUGACGGCCUUCGGGUUGUAAACCUCUUUCAGUAGGGAAGAAGCCUUUGGGUGACGGUA